GCGGGACUAUUUGAAUAACUGCGCGCACAAUCCGCGAAAAUAAAUUAUUUAGCUUUCUGCCUGAGAAGUUUGGGUCUUCCCCAGUGUGGUUGCAAAUAUUUCACUUGGAAAUAGUUUAUUCUUCAGGUUUAACGUCGAUUGUCGUGUUGUAAGAACCAACUUGAGGACAAUGGCGUGUCCUGCUGAGACAAGAAAAAGGCACAUUAGCGAUUUCUUUUCUCCAGCCAAGAGGAGUUCAGCUAACCUUUCAGACAACCUGCCAGAAACUCCUAGCACUUCUCCAGAACCUGAUACCAAGCACUGCCUUAACCCUCUUGGGCAUGGAGUUCACCAGAGCUUCACAGGUUGCCACUGGAGUCCUCUUCCACUCCUCCAUGACGACAUCACAGAGUUGGUGGAUGUUAGAGACCUUGCGCUCCUCCACCUUCCGUUUGAGGAUGCCCC
ensembl:lncRNA